rnacentral:lncRNA from 1 species
GGAUCUUAGAGAACGAGAUAAACAGAUCAGCUAACCUUGUGUAAUGCGGGUCAAUUUUUUGAAAAUGUCCUAGCUUAAUUGCAUGAAAAAAUCAACUGCAUCCAUUAGAAAGGAUAUUUAUUAAACGAAAUAGUAAUACUGGAUGAGAAACCGUAAGCAUAAUGAAGGCAACUUUAGAAAGAAAAGGAUACAUGAAACAAGAAUAUUAGUUUUAAAAUUAAUUUAACA